GGAAGGAGAGGAAGAAGAGAGGAAGAGGAGAAGGGGCUGCGGCUGCGGCGAUGGCAGCUGCAGCUGUGGCAGGGAAAGAGAAAAAGGAAAGGAAGAAGAAGAGAAAGGGAAGGAGAGGAAGAAGAGAGGAAGAGAAGGGGUUGCGGCUGCGGUGAUGGCAGCUGCAGCUGUGGCUGGGAAAGAAGAGAAGGAAAGGAAGAAGAAGAGAAAGGGAAGGAGAGGAAGAAGAGAGGAAGAGGAGAAGGGGUGGCAGCUGCGGCAGUGGCAGCUGCAGUUGGAAGAGAAGUAGGAGAGGAAAUAGAGUAGCAGAGGAAGAAGAGGCUGCGGUUGUGGUGGCUGCGGCCAUGGCUGCGACUGCGACUGCGGCAGUUGCAGCCGGGAAAGAAAGGAAAGGAAAGGGGGAAAAAGGGGCUGCGGACGGGAUUGCGGUCGCAGCGACAGCGACUGCGUAUGCAGCAGUUAUGUCUGCGAGAGAAGGGAGGAAGGAAGGUAGUGCGGUGGAAGGGGCUGCGAUUGUGGCAGCGGCAGCGGCGGUGGUUGUGGCAGCUGCGUUUGGGAAAGAAAAAGAAGGAAUGAGAGUAAGAGAAAGCAGGUGACUGUGCCUCGAUGUUCGACACGUGGUGUAGUUGCGAAGAAAGGAAGAAAACGGGAGCACAAAACGAAACAGAGAGAGGACACGGAGGAAAAGUAGAAGGAUUUGGGCUAGCACCUUCUUUGGAUCUUCGGAUCGAAAUCCUUGAAAGGUCAGCUUGUCACUCUUCGAGAUGUUUGAUUUGGGCUGAGGCAGUGGAUAGCUAUUCAGAAUUAUGGGCAAGUCCUGUUGGUUGUUAUGCUAUUGUUGUAUAAGCAUAUUUUGUAUGUAAUGAAUUGUUCUGAUGAUCGAAAUGGAUAUACUGUGUAAAAGUGUUAGAAGAUCUCUCUUAUUUGGAAUUUCGGAAUGUUAAGUCUAAUUUAUGACGAUAUGAACUUGUGGUGAA